AACGCUAGCUACAGGCUUAACACAUGCAAGUCGAGGGGCAGCAUGAAGAAACUUCGGUUUUUUUGAUGGCGACCGGCGAAUGGGUGAGUAACACGUAUCCAACCUGCCCUGUAUUGGAGGAUAGCCUCCCGAAAGGGAAAUUAACACCCCAUGUGUUUAUGAAGAGACAUCUCUUUGUAAAUAAAUGUAAAGAUACAGGAUGGGGAUGCGUCCGAUUAGCUUGUUGGUGAGGUAACGGCCCACCAAGGCUACGAUCGGUAGGGGUUCUGAGAGGAAGGUCCCCCACAUUGGAACUGAGACACGGUCCAAACUCCUACGGGAGGCAGCAGUGAGGAAUAUUGGUCAAUGGGCGAGAGCUUGAACCAGCCAAGUAGCGUGCAGGACGACGGCCCUAUGGGUUGUAAACUGCUUUUAUACGGGAAUAAAGUGAGUCACGUGUGGCUUUUUGCAUGUACCGUAAGAAAAAGGAUCGGCUAAUUCCGUGCCAGCAGCCGCGGUAAUACGGAAGGUCCGAGCGUUAUCCGGAUUUAUUGGGUUUAAAGGGAGCGCAGGCGGAGAGGCAAGCCAGCCGUAAAAUCGUUGAGCUCAACUCAAUCUCGCGGUUGGAACUGCUUCCCUUGAGUGCACGAGAGGAUGGUGGAAUUCGUGGUGUAGCGGUGAAAUGCAUAGAUAUCACGAAGAACUCCGAUUG
rnacentral:rRNA from 1 species